AACGAACGCUGGCGGCAGGCCUAACACAUGCAAGUCGAACGCCCCGCAAGGGGAGUGGCAGACGGGUGAGUAACACGUGGGAACCUUCCCAACAGUACGGAAUAGCCCAGGGAAACUUGGAGUAAUACCGUAUAUUCCCGAGAGGGGUAAGAUUUAUCGCUGUUGGAUGGGCCCGCGUCGGAUUAGCUAGUUGGUGAGGUAACGGCUCACCAAGGCGACGAUCCGUAGCUGGUUUGAGAGAAUGACCAGCCACACUGGGACUGAGACACGGCCCAGACUCCUACGGGAGGCAGCAGUGGGGAAUCUUGGACAAUGGGCGCAAGCCUGAUCCAGCCAUGCCGCGUGAGUGACGAAGGCCUUAGGGUUGUAAAGCUCUUUUGCCGGGGACGAUAAUGACGGUACCCGGAGAAUAAGUCCCGGCUAACUUCGUGCCAGCAGCCGCGGUAAAAC
rnacentral:rRNA from 1 species